UACGUAGGGGGCUAGCGUUGUCCGGAAUCAUUGGGCGUAAAGAGCGUGUAGGCGGCUCGGUAAGUCCGCUGUGAAAGUCCAGGGCUCAACCCUGGAAUGCCAGUGGAAACUGUCGAGCUAGAGUCCGGAAGAGGCGAGUGGAAUUCCUGGUGAAGCGGUGAAAUGCGCAGAUAUCAGGAGGAACACCAAUGGCGAAGGCAGCUCGCUGGGACGGUACUGACGCUGAGACGCGAAAGCGUGGGGAGCAAACAGG
rnacentral:rRNA from 1 species